GAUUUAGUGGUGUAGUUGGUAGCGCGCCCGUCCGGCAAACAGUAGACGUAGAUUAGAAUCCUACCAGUAUCU
rnacentral:tRNA from 1 species